rnacentral:rRNA from 1 species
AUGAAUUUGAUUGCUUCCAUUACCGAAGAGAACAAAGGAAGAAAAAGGAAAAGGAUCAUCUUGACAGCGAUGUAUGUUGAGUCAGUUUGUCUUGGCCUAGCUUAUCUUAGUACGCAAAGAGCACCGAAGAGUUUGCGAUGCUUUAGUGACGAAGAGCUUCGAUAUGUUCAUAGGAAGUACUUGCUGAAAGAAAUGUACAAUGGGUCAGAAGUAACUUGCUAUGAUGAGUUGCGGUUAACCAAAAGGAAUUUUCAUGAUCUUUGCACGAUGUUGCGUAUGAAGUGUGGUCUGAAAGAUAGCGUAUAUGUCACUGUAGAAGAAAAGGUUGCUAUGUUCUUGUUGGUGGUUGGACAUGGUAUUAAAAUGAGAGUGUUGCGUGGCACUUACAAACGUUCUUUAGAGACUAUCAGUAGGCACUUCUCGAAUGUGUUGACAGCCAUUCUUUCCCUAACCGGGGAGUUUAUCAAGCUUCCCGAUCCUUCUAUUGAACCUCCGGAUGAUUACAAAUGGAAGUGGUUUGGAAAUGCCUUGGGAGCACUAGAUGGGUGUCAUGUUGAUGUUUCUGUCGUUGCGGCUGACGAAGGGAGGUAUAGGAACAGAAAGCAAGAUAUCACCACUAACAUGCUAGGUGUUGUUGACUGGAACAUGAAAUUUCUUUAUGUUCUACCUGGCUGGGAGGGAUCUGCAUCUGACUCCAGAGUGUUGCGUGAUGCAAUGAGAACUGAUCGUCAAGAUGCAUUUGUUAUACCUCAUGGUAUGAUUGUUUCUCUUGGCAUUUUGUUUCUUUUUGUGUUAAUGUUAGCUAAAUCUAAUUGCUGCACCAUAGGAAAAUACUACUUAGUGGAUGCUGGCUACACCAAUGGACCUGGCUUUCUGGCUCCAUUCAGAUCGACUAGGUACCACUUGAAAGAGUGGGUCUCAAGUCAACAACAACCCCAAACUGACAAAGAGUUGUAUAACUUGCGCCAUUCUCGGGCUAGAAAUGUUGUGGAGAGAACUUUUGGCCUAUGGAAGAAAAAAUGGGCCAUUCUACGAAUUCAAUCUUUCUUUGACAUAAAGGACCAGGUAACAAGUGUCCAUAUGGUGUUGAAUAACAUAUGGACUGUAUGA